GUACUCACUUUGACAGCACAUUUACUGGCUUUGGAACAAUACAGAGAUAUUUAGCACAGCUCCUAUGCAAGGAUUACAUGUAAACUUGGGAAAAGUUCCAUAAUUUU